rnacentral:rRNA from 1 species
UACGGGGGGGAGCAAGCGUUUGUUCGGAUUUACUGGGCGUAAAGGGCGCGUAGGCGGCCACCGCAAGUCGACUGUGAAAUCUCCGGGCUUAACCCGGAAAGGUCAGCCGAUACUGCGGGGCUAGAGUGCGAAGGGGCAACUGGAAUUCUCGGUGUAGCGGUGAAAUGCGUAGAUAUCGAGAGGAACACCUGCGGCGAAGGCGGGUUGCUGGGCCAUUCCUGACGCUGGAGGCACGAAGGCCAGGGGAGCAAACGGG